AUUGAACGCUGGCGGGAGGCCUUACACAUGCAAGUCGAGCGAGCGGCGGACGGGUGAGUAAUGUAUGGGGACUGCCCGAUAGAGGGGGAUAACUACUGGAAACGGUGGCUAAUACCGCAUACUAUUGGAUAACCCAUAUCGGAUUAGCUAGUAGGUGGGGUAAAGGCUCACCAAGGCGACGAUCUCUAGCUGGUCUGAGAGGAUGAUCAGCCACACUGGGACUGAGACACGGCCCAGACUCCGACGGAGGCAGCAGUGGGGAAUUUUGGACAAUGGGGGAAAGCCUGAUGCAGCCAUGCCGCGUGUAUGAAGAAGGCCUUAGGGUUGUAAAGUACUUUCAGCGGGGAGGCGUUACCUGCAGAAUAAGCACCGGCUAACUACGUGCCAGCAGCCGCGGUAAUAC
rnacentral:rRNA from 1 species